UACGGAGGGUGCAAGCGUUAUCCGGAUUUACUGGGUUUAAAGGGUGUGUAGGCGGGUCAUUAAGUCAGUGGUGAAAUCCCGGAGCUCAACUCCGGAACUGCCAAUGAUACUAUUGAUCUUGAAUCCUGUUGAGGUGGGUCGGAAUACAUCAUGUAGCGGUGAAAUGCUUAGAGAUGAUGUAGAACACCGAUUGCGAAGGCAGCUCACUAAGCAGGUAUUGACGCUGAGGCACGAAAGCGUGGGGAGUCAAACAGGAAUUAGAUUACCCGGGGUAGUCCAAGCACCGA
rnacentral:rRNA from 1 species